rnacentral:rRNA from 1 species
UACAGAGGUCUCAAGCGUUGUUCGGAUUCAUUGGGCGUAAAGGGUGUGUAGGUGGCGCGCUAAGUCGGGUGUGAAAUUUCGGAGCUUAACUCCGAAACUGCAUUCGAUACUGGCGUGCUUGAGGACUGGAGAGGAGACUGGAAUUCAUGGUGUAGCAGUGAAAUGCGUAGAUAUCGGGAGGAACACCAGUGGCGAAGGCGGCUAUCUGGGCUUAAACUGACGCUGAGGCGCGAAGGCUAGGGGAGCGAACAGG